rnacentral:rRNA from 1 species
AUUGAACGCUGGCGGCAGGCUUUACACAUGCAAGUCGAACGGUAACAGGGUGCUUGCACCGCUGACGAGUGGCGAACGGGAGAGUAAUGUAUCGGAACAUACCAUAGAGUGGGGGAUAACGCUUCGAAAGGAGUGCUAAUACCGCAUAAUGCCUGAGGGCUAAAGGAGGGGAUCGCAAGACCUUUCGCUGUAUGAGUGGCCGAUAGCUGAUUAGCUAGUUGGUGAGGUAAAGGCUCACCAAGGCGACGAUCAGUAGCGGGUCUGAGAGGACGACCCGCCUCACUGGAACUGAGACACGGUCCAGACUCCUACGGGAGGCAGCAGUGGGGAAUUUUGGACAAUGGGCGGAAGCCUGAUCCAGCCAUGCCGCGUGUCUGAAGAAGGCCUUAGGGUUGUAAAGGACUUUUGUUGGGGAGCAAAUGCUGAUCGCUAAUACCGAUUGGAGCUGAGAGUACCCAAAGAAUAAGCACCGGCUAACUACGUG